UGAACACUAUUUCAGACCUCUGGC
rnacentral:piRNA from 1 species